rnacentral:rRNA from 1 species
CAGUCGUACGCUUUUUCUUUCCCGGAGCUUGCUCCACCGAAAGAAAAGGAGUGGCGAACGGGUGAGUAACACGUGGGUAACCUGCCCAUCAGAAGGGGAUAACACUUGGAAACAGGUGCUAAUACCGUAUAACAAUCGAAACCGCAUGGUUUUGAUUUGAAAGGCGCUUUCGGGUGUCGCUGAUGGAUGGACCCGCGGUGCAUUAGCUAGUUGGUGAGGUAACGGCUCACCAAGGCCACGAUGCAUAGCCGACCUGAGAGGGUGAUCGGCCACAUUGGGACUGAGACACGGCCCAAACUCCUACGGGAGGCAGCAGUAGGGAAUCUUCGGCAAUGGACGAAAGUCUGACCGAGCAACGCCGCGUGAGUGAAGAAGGUUUUCGGAUCGUAAAACUCUGUUGUUAGAGAAGAACAAGGAUGAGAGUAACUGUUCAUCCCUUGACGGUAUCUAACCAGAAAGCCACGGCUAACUACGUGCCAGCAGCCGCGGUAAUACGUAGGUGGCAAGCGUUGUCCGGAUUUAUUGGGCGUAAAGCGAGCGCAGGCGGUUUCUUAAGUCUGAUGUGAAAGCCCCCGGCUCAACCGGGGAGGGUCAUUGGAAACUGGGAGACUUGAGUGCAGAAGAGGAGAGUGGAAUUCCAUGUGUAGCGGUGAAAUGCGUAGAUAUAUGGAGGAACACCAGUGGCGAAGGCGACUCUCUGGUCUGUAACUGACGCUGAGGCUCGAAAGCGUGGGGAGCAAACAGGAUUAGAUACCCUGGUAGUCCACGCCGUAAACGAUGAGUGCUAAGUGUUGGAGGGUUUCCGCCCUUCAGUGCUGCAGCUAACGCAUUAAGCACUCCGCCUGGGGAGUACGACCGCAAGGUUGAAACUCAAAGGAAUUGACGGGGGCCCGCACAAGCGGUGGAGCAUGUGGUUUAAUUCGAAGCAACGCGAAGAACCUUACCAGGUCUUGACAUCCUUUGACCACUCUAGAGAUAGAGCUUCCCCUUCGGGGGCAAAGUGACAGGUGGUGCAUGGUUGUCGUCAGCUCGUGUCGUGAGAUGUUGGGUUAAGUCCCGCAACGAGCGCAACCCUUAUUGUUAGUUGCCAUCAUUUAGUUGGGCACUCUAGCAAGACUGCCGGUGACAAACCGGAGGAAGGUGGGGAUGACGUCAAAUCAUCAUGCCCCUUAUGACCUGGGCUACACACGUGCUACAAUGGGAAGUACAACGAGUCGCGAAGUCGCGAGGCUAAGCUAAUCUCUUAAAGCUUCUCUCAGUUCGGAUUGUAGGCUGCAACUCGCCUACAUGAAGCCGGAAUCGCUAGUAAUCGCGGAUCAGCACGCCGCGGUGAAUACGUUCCCGGGCCUUGUACACACCGCCCGUCACACCACGAAAGUUUGUAACACCCGAAGUCGGUGAGGU